rnacentral:lncRNA from 1 species
CUCUCCAAGCUGCUCCGAGGGGAAUGGGGAAUCGGCAGGAAAUGACCCGAACUGCCAGCCUGCGCCUUUGCAGCCGGCCCUCGCUUUGCUGAAGACGAGCAGCUCCCACCAAAGUCUUGCCUCCCCUUACCCCGAAAGCCCCGCUCAGUUCAAUAUUUCAAGUGAAAAUCUGCCUGUUCGAAAAGAAAAUAUUCACAAAUGAGCAGUGUAUUAGAAGACAACUGAAUUGCUUCUAAGAAUGGGUCUCACUCUGCCAUCACCCAGGCUGGAGUGUGGUGGCACCAUCAUGGCUCACUGCAGCCUUGAACUCCUGAGCUCAAGUCAUCCUCCCACCUCAGCCUUCCGAGUAGCUGGAACUGCAGGUGUGAGCCACCAUGCCUGGCUGAUUUGUCUUUUUAAAUUUUUUAUAGAGACCGAGUCUCAACUAUAUUGUCCAGGCUGGAAAAGAACUUCUUUCCCUCCAAGUGAUAACCUUUUCCAGACAAGUCAGCUUAAAAACUGACCCAAAGGCCCUGAAGUACACAGUUUUCUUGGAGAAAGAAAAAAAUAAGUGAAAAGGACUUGCUGACUUGCUAAUUCAUUUUGGGGCCUGUGGGUAACAUCAGAAUGGCAAAGCACUUGGGGCUUUUUUCUAAUUUGUAUUUUUUUAAUCUUCUGAGAAAUGACUUUUAUAUGCCAAGAUUCAUUCCAUGAUUAGUUUUUAUGACCAAGUUAUGAACGCUUUUGAAUAUGGGGACCUAGAAUAGAAAUGCUAACCUACCUGCAAGGAGAGCUCUGUGAUUGGCAUCCCCAUCAUGCUGUAACUGACACAAAAUAAACUUAGGGUAAUUGCCGCAUAGUGUAACUUUAAUGUGUGAGCAUACUGUAACAUCUGACAAGCUUCUUGAUCUAGAUCAGCAAUGUGUAACCCAUUCAUUGUUGUCACUCUCAACAAGGCCUUAUGGUCAAACAUCAUCACUCUCACUAAAGAGAUAGUUUACUGAAAUAUACUGAGAUUUUGAAACUGGAGUCAAGAGGUAGCACACUGUUUUAUGUUGAUCCAUUUAAUGGUCCUUGACAGCCAAUAAAAAGACACUGGAAGAAUACGUGAAUGCAGUAAUUGUUAAUAGGUCUAUUGAUAAUAUUUUCAACACCAGGUAGGGAGGGAGACAGGGAGGAGGAGGAAAGGAAGGAAGGGAGGAAAGGAGGAAGGGAGGAAGGGAGGGAGGGAGGGAGGAAGGGAGGGAGGGAAUGCUCUGACAUCUUACUCCAGAAAUAGAGCUGUUUUUAUAUAUUUUACUCCAUUAUUUUGGAUAUCAAUACUGACCAUACUGAGGUCUGUGGUCAUUUACACAGUUGGCCAAAUUUCACUGAAGUUUGUUUUUCAGAUUCUACUAGGUGUUUUCAUGUGGCAGUUGCCUAAUUUUUUACUAUAUUUAAGAUUUGUCCUUACGUUUUGGAUAUUCUGCCUUUGUUCUUCACAAAUGCUCAACUGUCAUAGAGGGUCUUCUGAUUUUUUUGGCAUGGGGUCACUCAACUAAAUUAUAGCUAGAUAAUAACUCCAAAGCCUAGUUCUCCUGGCUUUCCCUGCUGACCUACUCAUGUCCAGAUGUUCUCAUUUAUAAAGUGUGAGUCUUUGAAGAGUCAUUCUAAGAUUGCAGACUGCCAGGUUAUAUUCAAUACUCUGGACCUAAAUUAUUUGAUACAUUUUGGAAGAACCUGGUAGGUAGUGAGGAGGUGGGUGGGGUAUGGAGUCUUUGUUAGUCAGGAAAGAACAUUCUACUUGGGUUACUAAGGUAUCAGAUUAUUCAGUAAGGUAGACCAUUAAGAGCUAAGUUGCAUGGUGUGCACCUUAGUGCUUUAGGAAAUCAAAGGAAAGAAAUACCAAUGAGGACAGAAAGAGUUCUCCAGAGGAAGUAGACUGCAACUGUAUUUGUGAAGGAUGAGUGGCUGUGGAUGGAAGAAAAGAACAUUUUCAGUAAGGGGACAUGGUGGGUGAAAUGCUGAGGCAGGGAUGGGCUCAGUGUUCCCAGAGCUGUAAGGACCCCAAGAAAAUUUCACUUGUACUCUAUGUGCUUACUAUUUUUGUCUGUCCAGAGUGAAUCAGUUCUCCUAGAGACAGAUUUGACAGUCUGCACACAUUGAGAUCUGUUUCAUUUUAACUUUUCUUCUUGCUUCUCUCAAAUCUGGCUAAAAUACUAUUCUGGUCAUGUCAUUUUCCUGCUUCAGACCCCUCUAUGGCUCCCUGUUGCUCAGUCUCCUGAAGAUUUCAUGCCAGAUCUUUGCAUCCACCCCGCUCCCCCUGCCACCUUGAGCUUCAUUUAACAUCUGGACCCUUCUCACUUCUUGCGUCCCAGCUCCAGCCACCUGGAACUGGCAACUGCCAUACUCUCUCUUGCCUCUGGCCCCUCACAUAAAGCUCAGGUGUUGGUUUAAACAUCACUUCCACAGGAAGACCGGAUUAGGCUCCACUGCUAUUCCUUCUCACCCCUGCAGUGACCCCUUUCUUUUUUUUUUUUUUUUUUUUGUAUAGACAGCCAUUUUCAAGUUCAAACUCAUGAUCUUGGAGACACUUAGAUUUUCUCACAAAUUAUUUGCACAUUUUUAAUAGACUAUUUUUUAGGUAAUUUUACAUUCACAGCAAAGUUGAGGGGAAGGUACAGAGAUCUCACAUAUGCCCCUGCCACUCCCCAUGUUAUCAACACCCCCCACCAUCAACAUCCCCUACCAGAGUGGUACAUUUAAAACAAUUCAUGGACCUACAUGAACAUAUCAUUAUCACUCAAAGUCCAUAGUUUACAUCAGGAUUCAUUCAUAGUCUAUGGGUUUGGACAAAUGUAUAAUGACAUAUAUCUACCAUUAUUGUAUCAUACACAGUAGUUCCACUGCUUAAAAAAAAAAAACUCCUCUAUGCUCCAUCUAUUCAUCACUCACUGUCCCUAAGCACUGGAAACCACUGGUCUUUUUACUAUCUUCAUGGUUUUGCCUUUUCCAGAAUGUCAUAUAGUUGGAAUUAUUAUAGUAUAUAGCCUUUUUAGAUUGGCUUCAUUCACUUAGUAAAAUGCAUUUAACUUUGUUCCACAUCUUUUCAUGGCUUGAUAGCUAUUUUUAGUACUGAAUAAAUAUUUCAUUGUCUGGAUGUCCUCAAGCUUAUUUAUCCAUUCACAUACUGAAGGACACCAUGGUUGCUUCCAAAUUUCGGGAAUUGUGGAUAAAGCUGCCAUAAACAUCUGUAUGCAGGUUUAUGUGUGGACACAUUUUAAUUACUUAAAUAUCUGCCAUCCUCAUGAGACAUAAACUCCUUGCAAUGAAAAACCAUAUUUGACUUGAUCAGUUGUGACCAGCAGAGAACCUGGACCCUAUUCAUUCAUUCAUUCAUUCAAAAAUUUAUAUUAAAUACUUGUCAUGUGCCCUAAUGCAACAGAGAGCAAAACAAACAAAAAUUCUGUCCUCACAUUCUGCCUGGGAAGAUCAACACUAAAAUGAGCCAAAACUAAAAAAUACAGUAUGUAUAUAUUUAUAGUAUAGCAAUAAAUAUGUGGGAGAAAUAUAAAGCAAGGAAGGAGAACAGAAAGUGCCGGGUGCAAGGCGAACUUUAGACAGAGCGGCCAGGGGAGGCCUCACUAAGAGGAUGACAUUUGAACAAAGACCUGGAGGAAGCAAGGACGAGUCAUGCAGAUAGCUGGAGAGGAGCCAUCAGACUGAAGAAACAGCAAGUGCAAAGUCCCUGUCCUGCCGUGUGCCCUGGCACGUUAAGCAGGUCACUUGGGCUGAAGCAGAAAGAGCAAGGAGAGGGGAGUUAGGAAUUGAAGUCAGAAUCCAGGGCAGGCUCCAUCCUGGCCUCACUGUCCACCUUCCAGCAGAUGUGGAUCAGCAAGCGGGAAUACGAGUCCAGCCCCUCCGCUGUCCGCUGCAAAUGCCUCUAGGCAGACUGUUACUUAGUUGCGUUAUACCCUUUCUUGCCAAAACCUAUCUAUGGGCAAAAAACAAGAUUGGCAAGGCUUUUGUUUUGUUUUGUUUUUGGAUUGACUCAGGAUUUAAAAAAACUAGACCGAUGAAGGUGACAGCAGUCAGUUGGAGUGAGCAUCCCCCAAAGUUCUGCAAUGUGUCUGAGGACUUUGAUUAAUCUUUUUUUAAGUCAUUCCAAAUAUCGUGAGAUGCAUUGUUACAGGAAGACGCUUGCCAUCCCCAAAACCACCCCACUUCUCUCUAAGGAGAAUGGCCCAGUCCUCUCCCGAGUCCCACACAUGGGAGGUGAUAGCAGUGCUUUCAAUGUAAAUAAGCUCUCACCAUGUGACGUGCCUGCUUCCACUUCUCCUUCUACCAUGAUUGGAAGAUUCCUGAGGCCUUCACCAGAAGCCUAGCAGAUGCUGGUGCCAUGCUUGUACAGCCUGCAGAAACAUGAGCCAAUUAAAGCCCUUUCGUUUAUAAAUUACCCAGCAUCAGUUUAAUGUGACUCACUUAUUUUCUUUUAUGCUUUUAAAGCCAACAUGUCCAUUUCCACCCUCCACCCUCAUUCUCACAUUAAGCUAUGGAGAGGGGGAAUAUUUGUACUUUUUUCAUGGUCUUCCAAAGGAUGGACAUACUACUGCCACGAGAGAAAUUGCUGGUCAGAGAGAAGCAAUUCCUUAGAGAAAGCAACCCACAUAUCAUCACCCAAGAGAGCUGAACCAUUGCCAACAUCUCCAUCAGGAACUUGGAAGAGUUUUCUGUCUUCCCAACACAAUAAAACUGGAGACACGAGCAUGCAGAGCUCCAGCCAGCACAAUUACAUAAAGCCAAAGCACAUUAUCACUUGCAGGCUGCAGGAUUUAUGGCCAACUAUGAUGGAAAAUACAGAGAUACUUUACUUGUCUGAAUUCAACACUCAAAAAAGAUAGUAUGUAUUAUAUUAAUGAUAGAGAAAAGUUGUAUAUAUUGUACUUUUUCUAAUGAAAACCUUAGUAAACAGAGCAGAAACAGAUGCCAGCAUCUUAGAGAAGAAAGAAAAAUGGAAAAGAUUGCCAGUUUGCUCCUCUUCAGACAAUAUGCAAUUGCUGUUCUUGUUGAAAAAUUCCUUUCAAAUGCAUUGAGGCAGCAUUUCUAUUUUGGUGGUUUUCUGCAUUUGAGUUGCUGCUUCUAACUUGAGUGGAACAGAGAAGUUUGUAUUCUCUAUGGGUGUCUGCUGUUCCAAGUAUGAAGCAGUGAAGCUAAAAUCACUUUACUUCUAGAAACCUGUGAUUUCCAUUUGCCAUGAGGUUAGCACUUCCUCUGGCAGUGCCUUUGCCACGAACUGUCAUAGAACCAUGCUGUUUAUCUAGCAUAGCAUUCUUCUUUAUCAUAGCUGCUUACCACUUGUUUCUGCUCUGGAAUGCACCCUGUACGUGCAGGUUAUGUGGUGUCCUGGCCCAGUGCUGGCACACGGUGAGCACUCACAAAAAUAUUGAAGAGCUCUCUUCAGGUUGUAAUUUUAUGUUACCAAUGUUUUUACACAGUUGGUUUGCAUUAUGAGUACACAGUGAGAAGGUAAACCAGUGUGCUGUUUGUCUAUCGUUUCCAAAUUUUGAAUUAUUUAAAUACAUGUUAGUGAAAUCACUGUUUAUCAGAACCAAAAUUGCAAUCUUAAAACUUCUGCAAGAUAGAAAAGAUUGUUUAACAAAGGAAGGAAAAUAUUACAAAAACAGAUUUCUCUCUUAAUUUUGUCAGUGCUUGGACUUGGUCCCCAAAUCUUAAAAGUGAAUUUGUUUCCAGAACACCUGAAACAGAGACCACAUUUUUAUGUUUGCCUUUUUGCAGUGAAGUUUACAUUAGGGAGCUAUAUUUUCCUUAUAUUUAUUUUUAAAUCAUUUGGGCUUUCCAAUAAAAUAGCAUUCUCAUUUUCUUCCCUCUUCCCAGAUUAAUGCAUUUAUUAUUUUAAUGCAUGAAGGGGUCCACGUGGCGCUAUGGUUGGUGGCUGGGAUGCUCUGGAGUGGUGCGCUUGGAAAACAAUGUGUUAUUUGCACUUGAGAAAAUACUUUGUUGGCUAAGUGUCUAGGCACUGAAACAGUAACAGUUCAUCAAAAGACAGUUAUCCCAGAUACGCUUCCAAGAGUGGCAAUCAGUUUUCCUAAAGAGUCAAAGAAAAGAGUGAGAAUUGUGGGAAGUGGGAGACUAGAAGGACAGACUCAUUUGGAAACAGGAAGUGGUUCAAGGAACUUAGGAUUUGGAAUAUAGGAAAAGAAAUGGGGAAACAUACCCAUGCCUUCUCUUCUCUGUAGACAUCCAAUUUGAACCUACUCCAGAUUAGUAGGAAGUAAAAUCAUUAUCUGAUGUUCUGUGGCCACAUGGAAAAUACAUUGGUAGUUGCAACCAGACUAGAGUCAACAUUGAGAAACCAAUAGAACCACUAACUUGGGCUGGUGAGGCACAGCUACUGGUCAAAACCUGCCCAGGAGGCCCAGUACCACUCACAGUCAGGAUCGGGGUCAUGGUAGGGGAAGGUCAGCUAGCUUACUGCAGCCCAUCUCUGAUGGGGAGGUGAGGACUUCCAGCCCUGGGCUGCUCAUUCACCUCCCCUCUGGAGCAGUAAACAGGGAAGUAGCAAGAAGCUAAGCUCCUUUUGUUAGGCAUUGUUAAUUCCUCCAAGGUGACCAUUGAUGUAUUUUUUAUUCAGUAACUUAGCAUAUAUGUGUGUGCACAAUUAAUAGUUAUAUAUAAUAAAAGUGAAUAUAUUAAAAUUUAAAAAAAUAAAUUAUGAUCAUUGCACAAUUCUGUGACUAUACUACAAACCAUUAAAAUGUAUACUUUAAAUGGGUGUUUUUUAUGUUAUUUAUGUGAUUAUGUCUCAAUAAAGAUGUUUUAAAACCAUAAAUGUUUUUAUCCAUUAUUUUCCCUAAAAAAUCAUGCAUUGGGUUUUGUUAUUAUCAUUGACUUCCUUCCUUCUGUGUUUUUAUAUUGCCUUCUUCAAGUCUUGGUGAUCCCAGGAUAUACUCCAGAACUGAUAAAUGUUGGCUAAUGAAUUGUAGCUUUAUUCCAGUUUUAGCACUGCCAGGCCAGGCUAUAUUGUCUGUGUUAUGGGGUCAGUAUGAAAAAUUUUACUAAAAAAUGAAACUGACCCAGAGAGAGGCUCUUCAUGAGCUCCUGCACUUCCUCCUACUCACCUCACCUCCCAGGGUGCUCCUUGCCUUCUCUGGGUAUUGAUGCUUAUUGUGAUCUUGUGUACCAUAAUUUGAAAGGUAUUCUCUGAUACCUUCCACUACUACACUCUGUGGUUACAGAAGAGAUUGGU